AGUGAACGCUGGCGGUAGGCCUAACACAUGCAAGUCGAACGGCAGCACAGUAAGAGCUUGCUCUUACGGGUGGCGAGUGGCGGACGGGUGAGGAAUACAUCGGAAUCUACUUUUUCGUGGGGAAUAACGUAGGGAAACUUACGCUAAUACCGCAUACGACCUACGGGUGAAAGCAGGGGAUCUUCGGACCUUGCGCGAUUGAAUGAGCCGAUGUCGGAUUAGCUAGUUGGCGGGGUAAUGGCCCACCAAGGCGACGAUCCGUAGCUGGUCUGAGAGGAUGAUCAGCCACACUGGAACUGAGACACGGUCCAGACUCCUACGGGAGGCAGCAGUGGGGAAUAUUGGACAAUGGGCGCAAGCCUGAUCCAGCCAUACCGCGUGGGUGAAGAAGGCCUUCGGGUUGUAAAGCCCUUUUGUUGGGAAAGAAAAGCAGCAGGUUAAUACCCCGCUGUUCUGACGGUACCCAAAGAAUAAGCACCGGCUAACUUCGUG
rnacentral:rRNA from 1 species